GAUGAAGAACGCAGUUAAAAGCGAUAAGUAAUGUGAAUUGCAGAACUCAGUGAAUCAUCGAGUCUUUGAACGCACAUUGCGCCCUCUGGUAUUCCGGAGGGCAUGCCUGUCCGAGCGUCAUUGCUGCCCUCAAGCACGGCUUGUGUGUUGGGCUCCGUCCCCCGAUCCCGGGGGACGGGCCCGAAAGGCAGCGGCGGCACCGCGUCCGGUCCUCGAGCGUAUGGGGCUUUGUCACCCGCUCUGUAGGCCCGGCCGGCGCUUGCCGAUCAACCAAAUUUUUAUCCAGGUUGACCUCGGAUCAGGUAGGGAUACCCGCUGAACUUAAGCAUAUCAAUAAGCGGAGGA
rnacentral:misc_RNA from 1 species